UACGUAGGGGGCAAGCGUUGUCCGGAAUCAUUGGGCGUAAAGCGCGCGUAGGCGGCCAGAUUAGUCCGGUGUGAAAGUCAGAGGCUCAACCUUUGAAUGCCGCUGGAAACUGUCUGGACUUGAGUCCGGAAGGGGCGAGUGGAAUUCCGUGGUGUAGCGGUGAAAUGCGCAGAUAUCAGGAGGAACACCAAUGGCGAAGGCAGCUCGCUGGAACGGUACUGACGCUGAGGCGCGAAAGCGUGGGGAGCAAACAGG
rnacentral:rRNA from 1 species